rnacentral:tRNA from 1 species
AUGAUCUUAGCUCAGAUGGUGAGAGCGCUAAAGGAAACUUUAGAGGUCGUUGGUUCGAGUCCAACAGUUCACUCUCU